GGAGGUCUACCGGGUCGGGUUCCGAUUCAGAUUCGAAGAUCCAGUUCACACUAGAACAUGCCUUCGGUGACUCAGAUUUCUCCCCCGCCGGCACCUUCACUGCUCGCAUCAAAUCUCCUUCUCAUGGUUCCCAGGUUUUCCCUUAAUUAUUCUUUAUUUUGACGUUUGAAACUUUUUAAAAAAAUUUAUAUAGUUAUCAACGUAAUUAAAUUAUUAUUUGUUGAAAACUAUCUCCUUAAUCGUAAUUAUAGACAUUGUUGCUCGAAGGUGGAAUCCGAUCCCGUGCAGCUGAUCCCAAUGACGUCAAAGUAGGUGCAGCACCUUCUUCUCCUGUUCAGUCGACCCGGAGGAGGUCUACCGGGUCGGGUUCCGAUUCAGAUUCGAAGAUCCAGUUCACACUAGAACAUGCCUUCGGUGACUCAGAUUUCUCCCCCGCCGGCACCUUCACUGCUCGCAUCAAAUCUCCUUCUCAUGGUUCCCAGGUUUUCCCUUAAUUAUUCUUUAUUUUGACGUUUGAAACUUUUUAAAAAAAUUUAUAUAGUUAUCAACGUAAUUAAAUUAUUAUUUGUUGAAAACUAUCUCCUUAAUCGUAAUUAUAGACAUUGUUGGGUAAUAUUAAGAUCGCAGAACACAGGUUGUUAUCAGUUUACUUAAUAAUAACGAAUAGUUUGUUAAUUUCAUGGACUUGCGAUCUGAUUUUAAAAAAAGUAAUGCGACCAAACAACUUUAAAAGACAAUGUACAAACUAAUGAC
rnacentral:lncRNA from 1 species